rnacentral:lncRNA from 1 species
UAUUUCAGGGAAGAUAUUGUUUCUUGAAGCAGUGUCCAAAGUCAUCCUAGAUCUGAAAAAGAAGCAUUGAAAUGGUCUCAUUGGAUGUUGUAAAUUGAUUAUAAAAAGACUGCACAUAAUCUACUCCAGUGAUUCAGUGGGACUAUUUUUCAAAAUUUCGAUGUACCUGGGCGAAAUCGUACUGUCACCUGCAAGAUGUCGAAGGCUGAUGCCAACGACAGACACAAUCCUGCUCUCCUCGUCACAGACAAUUCAUGGACUUGUUAUACUGUUACUGUCAGAUAGUUACAAUAACAGUUAGCAUUUUGUUAUCCGUCGUCUUUUAACUGUCAAUUUCUAUAACGUGUCAGCCACUGAGCUGAAUGAAUAGAUGUUCAAUAGCUGAUUAAAUUUAUCAAGGAGGUAAAAAUAAAAAAUAAGUACCAAAGUAUUAAAAAAAUAGUAAAAUGAGAAAUGAAAUAUUGCAAUCUGAAAAUUUCAGAUUACAUUCUAACAGCUUAAAAAGAUUUUAUCCCUUGAAAAAAAAAAAAAACAAAAAAAAAAAAAAAAAAAAAAAAAAAA